rnacentral:rRNA from 2 species
UAAGCAUAUCAAUAAGCGGAGGAAAAGAAACUAACAAGGAUUCCCCUAGUAACUGCGAGUGAAGCGGGAAAAGCUCAAAUUUAAAAUCUGGCGGUCUUAUGGCCGUCCGAGUUGUAGUCUGGAGAAGUGCUUUCCGCGCUGGACCGUGUACAAGUCUCUUGGAACAGAGCGUCAUAGAGGGUGAGAAUCCCGUCUUUGACACGGACUACCAGUGCUUUGUGAUGUGCUCUCAAAGAGUCGAGUUGUUUGGGAAUGCAGCUCAAAAUGGGUGGUAAAUUCCAUCUAAAGCUAAAUAUUGGCGAGAGACCGAUAGCGAACAAGUACCGUGAGGGAAAGAUGAAAAGCACUUUGGAAAGAGAGUUAAACAGUACGUGAAAUUGCUGAAAGGGAAACGCUUGAAGUCAGUCGCGUUGGCCAGGACUCAGCCUUGCUUUUGCUUGGUGCAUUUUCUGGUUGACGGGCCAGCAUCGAUUUUGACCAUUGGAAAAAGAUUAGGGGAAUGUGGCACCUUCGGGUGUGUUAUAGCCCUUAGUCACAUACAGUGGUUGGGAUCGAGGACCGCAGCACGCCUUUAUUGGCCGGGGUUCGCCCACGUUCGUGCUUAGGAUGCUGGCGUAAUGGCUUUAAACGACCCGUCUUGAAACACGGACCAAGGAGUCUAACAUGCCUGCGAGUGUUUGGGUGGAAAACCCGAGCGCGUAAUGAAAGUGAAAGUUGAGAUCCUUGUCAUGGGGAGCAUCGACGCCCGGACCUGAACUUCGGUGAUGGAUCUGCGGUAGAGCAUGUAUGUUGGGACCCGAAAGAUGGUGAACUAUGCCUGAAUAGGGUGAAGCCAGAGGAAACUCUGGUGGAGGCUCGUAGCGAUUCUGACGUGCAAAUCGAUCGUCAAAUUUGGGUAUAGGGGCGAAAGACUAAUCGAACCAUCUAGUAGCUGGUUCCUGCC